CUGGCUCAGGAUGAACGCUAGCUACAGGCUUAACACAUGCAAGUCGAGGGGCAGCAUGAAGUUGCUUGCAAACUUGAUGGCGACCGGCGCACGGGUGAGUAACGCGUAUCCAACCUUCCCCUUACUAGGGAAUAGCCCGGCGAGAGUCGGAUUAAUGCCCUAUGUUCUCCUUUGCGGGCAUCUAACGAGGAGCAAAGAUUCAUCGGUAAGGGAUGGGGAUGCGUCUGAUUAGCCAGUUGGCGGGGUAACGGCCCACCAAGGCGACGAUCAGUAGGGGUUCUGAGAGGAAGGUCCCCCACAUUGGUACUGAGACACGGACCAAACUCCUACGGGAGGCAGCAGUGAGGAAUAUUGGUCAAUGGACGCGAGUCUGGACCAGCCAAGUAGCGUGCAGGAAUGACUGCCCUAUGGGUUGUAAACUGCUUUUAUGCGGGAAUAAAGUCAGGUACGCGUACCUGUUUGUAUGUACCGCAUGAAUAAGGACCGGCUAAUUCCGUGCCAGCAGCAGC
rnacentral:rRNA from 1 species